rnacentral:rRNA from 1 species
GACGAACGCUGGCGGCGUGCUUAACACAUGCAAGUCGAACGGAAAGGCCCCCACCUUGGUGGGGGUGCCCGAGUGGCGAACGGGUGAGUAACACGUGGGUGCUCUGCCCUGUACUUCGGGAUAAGCUUGGGAAACUGGGUCUAAUACCGGAUAGGACCACGGUUUAGUGUCUACUGGUGGAAAAAUUAUUGUUUUGGUGCAGGAUGGGCUCGCGGCCUAUCAGCUGGUUGGUGGGGUAAUGGCCUACCAAGGCGUCGACGGGUAGCCGGCCUGCGAGGGUGGACGGCCGCAUUGGAACUGGGAUACGGCCCAGACUGCGACGGGAGGAGGCAGUGGGGAAUAUUGGACAAUAGGCGGAAGCCUGAUGCAGCGACGCGGCGAGGGGGAUGACGGCCUUCGGGUUGUAAACUCCUUUCGUUAGGGAGGAAGCCACACCUUUUUUGGGUGUGGUGACGGUACCUUUGUUAAGAAGCACCGGCUCACUACG